CAUCCAGCCUGUGCAGGAAGCCUUCAAAUGAAGAGAAGCUCAUUCUCUCUGGAACUGGCCCAUUCCACAUCACAGAAGGAGAAACCGUCAUUCCACAUCACAGAAGGAGAAACCGUCAUUCCACAUCACAGAAGGAGAAACCGUCAUUCCACAUCACAGAAGGAGAAACCGUCAUUCCUCAUCACAGAAGGAGAAACCGUCAUUCCUCAUCACAGAAGGAGAAACCGUCAUUCCACAUCACAGAAGGAGAAACCGUCAUUCCAGAGGGCCAACCAUACAAGCCCCCCUCUCACAGAGACAUGCCAGGACCUGUUUUUAUAAUGGGGAAACAUAGGACAUGGCUGAUCUGGGCAGAGCCUCACGCCAGGGCCCCACAGGGGGCCUCUGCACCAGCAGUCCUUCAAGAGCAAACUUCUCACACCCGCCAUGUCAUUGCACCAGUGCUGCAAAGCUCCAACGGCUGGUUCUGGACAAUUAAGAAACCGAGGAAGGGAGACAAGACACCAGGACAGAACAACAUGUGCAGGGCAGCCAGGUGGGGGAGUAAACAUGCUGCUAAGCCUGAGGGAAAGUCACUGUGGGCAGAAACUACGGCGGAUGAACCGGAAGUUUCCCAGCACAGGAAGGAAUGGACAUGCUUCAAGAGCCAGACCCCAAGGAAACCAUGACCAGAAGGGAAGGAGGCAAAAAAUCCUAUGAAAUUAAGUUCCAAGCAUAUAAUGCAGAGAUACUCCACUGGUGACAUCUUCAAUGAAUUUAACAAUCAUCUGGCAACAAGGAUACAUUGAAUAAAUGACUAUGUCGAGUACA
ensembl:lncRNA